rnacentral:lncRNA from 1 species
GUUCUCUCCCCUGGAGGCCACUACAGAUGGUCGUGCUGGACAUUCAGUGCACCAGGGGCCGGGCUGAGCCCGAGUGGGGCUGAGCAGUCUCUCAACCUGUCCUCUGCUCACCAAGCCGGAGCCCCGGUGCGGGGCUGCACCUGCCACCAAGGCACACACCUGUGCGCUCCGCCAUCCAAGUAGAAUCCAGUAGCAGCCAUCUUGGGGCCAUGAGAGCAGCCAGCCUAUGAGGAAACGACAACACACUGAGGUGGCAGAGCAGAAGGAAGGAAAGAAACUGAGUCCUUCCUGACACCGUUGAGAUGCUGAAUUAACACGUCCUGCCCACUAAAGACAAGGACACUCAGGCCUAAAGAGAUAAAGUUAAUACCCAAACUAGAGCUUGGAAUCUCAUACGCUGCCACGUGUCUGCCAUCUGUCUUGGAGUAAUUGGACAGUAACCAGAUUCCUUGUCAUCUCCUGCGGAGCUGUGGGUUAUUUUCAAGCCUCCGUGCCUUUGUGCGUGCUGCUGCCUCUUCCCGGAUUGCCCUUCUCUCUCCAGAAAACGUUGAAACAUCUUUGCAGGCUCAGUUCAAACUUUACCUCCUCUGCAAAGCCUUCUUCCUCUCCCAAGCAGCAUGGCACAAUUCUGCAUCUAUCCACUUUGUACACCACUCGAUGCCCGUAUAUACCUUUUUACAUCUGUCUCUUCAAAUCUCAAGGUCAUAUUGUAUCUUCCUCCCUCCUGUGCUCAGACUUAACACUUUGCACAAUUGCACAAUUCUUUACACCCACGAGGCCCUCCACAAAUGCUUACUGAGUGCACAAGUACAUUUUUCCUCCCUCACAUGGCUUGCUAGAGGGAUACAGUGUCCACA